rnacentral:antisense_RNA from 1 species
CACUCUAAGCAGUUCGCAGGGAGCAUCUUUGAGCAGCUGGAACAGCUUUGCGGCCUUGCUGUAAUGAAGAUCUGCCAGCACCCGGUGUUGUUUCCUAAGGUGUUCAUCACCAACCUAGAACCAAACCAAAACAAGCAACAAAUCCUUCACGAGAAAGAAAGAAAACAACUGUGUAAGCAGACAUCAGUGUAAACCCUAGCACUGUCUCUUGAUGAGAUAAGAGGAGGAUGGCAGUGACAGGAGUGUGGUGGCAAGCCAGUCACCUGCAGUCAACCGCGGCUCAUUGCUCUCACCACGCCUGUUACAUGAAGAAUUACCAUUUAAGUACUAACCUGACUGGAAGCACUGGGAUCUUCAGAAACUGAAGAAGGCAUUUCGAAGGGAGCAGGCCAUGAAGCCCCUUCCGAAUCAUUUGUCUGAUCUGAACUGGAUGAUUCCUGCUGUUCUGUGGUGGAUGAGACAGGCUGAGCAGCUCCAUCACCAUUGAUACUGGCCAAAUCAGAAAUAAAAAAGGAUCGCUGUUACUAAAGUUAA